rnacentral:lncRNA from 1 species
UAUUCACUCACUGUGGGGCCUCAGAAAGUGAAAACACGUGCCAGCUAUUCUGAGCACUGCUUUCUUUAUCAAGGUAACUGGAAGCUAAAUGAAUAAUCAGGAAGGUGUGUUCUAAAUUUGGAAUAAUAAAAAAUACAAUUACAUAUUAUUAGAAAAAUUUCCUCUCAAGUCAUGGAAAAAGUCCUAUGAAUUACCCCUAUCCAAUUACAGAGAACCUUUCUUAUAACUGUAUUAUACAAAAUCCUUCUCUUUUUAGAAAUGGAGAUAACUUCAAAACAAUUACAAAACCAUCCUCAAAUCCAUCAGAAGUUUUGGAGGAUAAUAGAGGUUGUGGUGGUGGAUGGGGUUGUACACUUGACAGAGGCUGCCUGGUGGUCAGGACCAACGGUCAAGCAUCACAGUUUUGGCGAAAAAAAAAGAAAGAAAGAAAAAAGAAAAAAAACAUCAUCUGGAGUGAUAGGUAUAUACAUCUAUACCCAUCUAUCUGUUAUCAUCAUCUAUCUAUGUCAUCUACUAUCUAUCUAUCUAUCUAUCUAUCUAUCUAUCUAUCUAUCUAUAUCUGUCUCUCUAUCUCUAUUCAUCUGUCAUCAUCUCCUAAAACCUCAGAGAGUAAAAUUUCAUGUCUCUGUGUAUAUAUGCAUUUUUAUAUAUGUAUAAUUGUUUAUGUGUGUGUGUGUGUAUAUGUGUGUUUGGAUUUUAUGUAGCCUAAACAAGCAAAAGACAUAUAAAACUUUAUCAAGCAUUUUCCAAUUACCUUUCAGUAAAAAUAUUAAUUAACAAACCAGAUUCUCAUAAUGACUAGAUAAUUUCACACUUCGUUG